rnacentral:rRNA from 1 species
AGAGUUUGAUCAUGGCUCAGGAUGAACGUUGGCGGUGUGCCUAAUACAUGCAAGUCGAACGGAGUUAAUAGCAAUAUUGACCUAGUGGCGAACGGGUGAGUAACGCGUUGGUGAUCUGCCUCGAAGUGUGGAAUAACGUUCCGAAAGGAACGCUAAUACCGCAUGUGCUCUCGAUUUUUAGAAAGUUGAGAGUAAAGGAUUUAUUCGCUUCGAGAGGAGCCUGCGUCCCAUCAGCUGGUUGGUAGGGUAACGGCCUACCAAGGCUAUGACGGGUAGGGGACCUGAGAGGGUGGCCCCCCACAAUGGAACUGAAACACGGUCCAUACACCUACGGGUGGCAGCAGUAGGGAAUAUUAGAAAUGGACGAAAGUCUGAUCUAGCAACACCGCGUGUGCGAAGAAGGCCUUCGGGUCGUAAAGCACUUUUUGGAAGGAAUAGGAAGGAAUGUACUUCCAGAAUAAGUCUCGGCUAACUACGUGCCAGCAGCCGCGGUAACACGUAGGAGGCGAACGUUAUCCGGAUUUACUGGGCGUAAAGCGCGUGUAGGUGGUACUGUAAGUAGGGCGUGAAAGCUCCCGGCUCAACUGGGAGAGGCCGUUCUAAACUACAGAACUAGAGGAUGGUAGAGGGAGGUGGAAUUCCAGGUGUAGCGGUGGAAUGCGCAGAUAUCUGGAGGAACACCGGUGGCGAAGGCGGCCUCCUGGACCAUUCCUGACACUCAGACGCGAAAGCUAGGGUAGCAAACGGGAUUAGAGACCCCGGUAGUCCUAGCCCUAAACGAUGUAGACUAGGCGUCGGAAGUUUAAUCACUUUCGGUGUCCAAGCUAACGCGAUAAGUCUACCGCCUGGGGACUACGGCCGCAAGGUUAAAACUCAAAGGAAUUGACGG